rnacentral:rRNA from 1 species
UACGGGGGGGGCAAGCGUUUGUUCGGAAUUACUGGGCGUAAAGGGUCUGUAGGUGGCCAACUAAGUCAGACGUGAAAUCCCUCAGCUUAACUGGGGAACUGCGUCUGAUACUGGUUGGCUUGAGUGCAGGAGAGGAAUGCGGAAUUCCAGGUGUAGCGGUGAAAUGCGUAGAUAUCUGGAGGAACACCGGUGGCGAAGGCGGCAUCCUGGACCGGCAUUGACGCUGAGGCGCGAAAGCCAGGGGAGCAAACGGG